rnacentral:rRNA from 1 species
AACGCGAAGAACCUUACCCAGGCUCGAAAUGUAAUGGGCGAUAUCAGAGAUGAUAUUUUCCGCAAGGACUAUUAUAUAGGUGCUGCAUGGCUGUCGUCAGCUCGUGCCGUGAGGUGUUGGGUUAAGUCCCGCAACGAGCGCAACCCUUAUCAUUAGUUGCCAACACGCGAGGUGGGGACUCUAAUGAGACUGCCUGGGUUAACCAGGAGGAAGGUGAGGAUGACGUCAAGUCCGCAUGGCCUUUAUGUCUGGGGCUACACACGUGCUACAAUGGUCGGUACAGAAGGCAGCAAGACCGUAAGGUGGAGCAAAUCCGUAAAGCCGAUCACAGUUCGGAUUGUAGUCUGCAACUCGGCUACAUGAAGUUGGAAUUGCUAGUAAUGACGUGUCAGCAACAACGUCGUGAAUACGUUCCCGGGCCUUGUA